rnacentral:rRNA from 1 species
GCAAGUCGAGCGAACAGAUAAGGAGCUUGCUCCUUUGACGUUAGCGGCGGACGGGUGAGUAACACGUGGAUAACCUACCUAUAAGACUGGGAUAACUUCGGGAAACCGGAGCUAAUACCGGAUAACAUAUUGAACCGCAUGGUUCAAUAGUGAAAGGCGGCUUUGCUGUCACUUAUAGAUGGAUCCGCGCCGUAUUAGCUAGUUGGUAAGGUAACGGCUUACCAAGGCAACGAUACGUAGCCGACCUGAGAGGGUGAUCGGCCACACUGGAACUGAGACACGGUCCAAACUCCUACGGGAGGCAGCAGUAGGGAAUCUUCCGCAAUGGGCGAAAGCCUGACGGAGCAACGCCGCGUGAGUGAUGAAGGUCUUCGGAUCGUAAAACUCUGUUAUCAGGGAAGAACAAAUGUGUAAGUAACUGUGCACAUCUUGACGGUACCUGAUCAGAAAGCCACGGCUAACUACGUGCCAGCAGCCGCGGUAAUACGUAGGUGGCAAGCGUUAUCCGGAAUUAUUGGGCGUAAAGCGCGCGUAGGCGGUUUUUUAAGUCUGAUGUGAAAGCCCACGGCUCAACCGUGGAGGGUCAUUGGAAACUGGAAAACUUGAGUGCAGAAGAGGAAAGUGGAAUUCCAUGUGUAGCGGUGAAAUGCGCAGAGAUAUGGAGGAACACCAGUGGCGAAGGCGACUU